UACGUAGGGGGCAAGCGUUGUCCGGAUUUAUUGGGCGUAAGGAGCGUGUAGGCGGUUUGGUAGGUCCGCUGUGAAAACUCGAGGCUCAACCUCGAGACGCCGGUGGAAACCAUCAGACUAGAGUCCGGAAGAGGAGGGUGGAAUUCCUGGUGUAGCGGUGAAAUGCGCAGAUAUCAGGAAGAACACCCGUGGCUAAGGCGGCUCUCUAGUACGGUACUGACGCUGAGACGCGAAAGCGUGGGGAGCGAACAGG
rnacentral:rRNA from 1 species